AGUCGAACGGUAACGCGGGGCAACCUGGCGACGAGUGGCGAACGGGUGAGUAAUGCAUCGGAACGUGCCCAGUAGUGGGGGAUAGCCCGGCGAAAGCCGGAUUAAUACCGCAUACGACCUACGGGUGAAAGGGGGGGAUCGCAAGACCUCUCGCUAUUGGAGCGGCCGAUGUCAGAUUAGGUAGUUGGUGGGGUAAAGGCCUACCAAGCCGACGAUCUGUAGCUGGUCUGAGAGGACGACCAGCCACACUGGGACUGAGACACGGCCCAGACUCCUACGGGAGGCAGCAGUGGGGAAUUUUGGACAAUGGGCGCAAGCCUGAUCCAGCCAUGCCGCGUGCGGGAAGAAGGCCUUCGGGUUGUAAACCGCUUUUGUCAGGGAAGAAAUCUUCUGGGUUAAUACCUCGGGAGGAUGACGGUACCUGAAGAAUAAGCACCGGCUAACUACGUGCCAGCAGCCGCGGUAAUACGUAGGGUGCAAGCGUUAAUCGGAAUUACUGGGCGUAAAGCGUGCGCAGGCGGUUUUGUAAGACAGAGGUGAAAUCCCCGGGCUCAACCUGGGAACUGCCUUUGUGACUGCAAGGCUUGAGUGCGGCAGAGGGGGAUGGAAUUCCGCGUGUAGCAGUGAAAUGCGUAGAUAUGCGGAGGAACACCGAUGGCGAAGGCAAUCCCCUGG
rnacentral:rRNA from 1 species